UACGUAGGGUGCAAGCGUUAAUCGGAAUUACUGGGCGUAAAGCGUGCGCAGGCGGUCUUGCAAGACAGAUGUGAAAUCCCCGGGCUCAACCUGGGAACUGCAUUUGUGACUGCAAGGCUGGAGUGCGGCAGAGGGGGAUGGAAUUCCGCGUGUAGCAGUGAAAUGCGUAGAUAUGCGGAGGAACACCGAUGGCGAAGGCAAUCCCCUGGGCCUACACUGACGCUCAUGAACGAAAGCGUGGGGAGCAAACAGG
rnacentral:rRNA from 1 species